rnacentral:lncRNA from 1 species
CCUUUUGACUUUUGAGUCUGUCUCUCUCCAUUCUCCAGCUUCAGAUAAUCACAUAUAACAAUCAACUCUUGAAAUCUGCAAUUCAACACCAAAAAUUCAUAAUGUCAUCCUUCUUCAACAAAAUCAAUUUAUUCAUAAACUAUAUUAAUUCAAACUUACCAACAUCAUGGAAUCUAUAAUACAUAGUUUGUUUUUACUCUAAUGACUCUCCUCUAACAUCUGGAGGCAUCAUUUUUGCAGUUUCCCA